UACGUAGGGCGCAAGCGUUAUCCGGAAUUAUUGGGCGUAAAGAGCUCGUAGGCGGUUUGGCAAGUUGGGUGUGAAAUUUCGAGGCUCAACCUCGAAACGCCACUCGAUACUGCCAUGACUGGAGUCCGGUAGAGGAGUGCGGAAUUCCUGGUGUAGCGGUGAAAUGCGCAGAUAUCAGGAGGAACACCAACGGCGAAGGCAGCACUCUGGGCCGGUACUGACGCUGAGGAGCGAAAGCGUGGGGAGCAAACAGG
rnacentral:rRNA from 1 species